rnacentral:rRNA from 1 species
UACGAAGGGGGCUAGCGUUGCUCGGAAUCACUGGGCGUAAAGGGUGCGUAGGCGGGUCUUUAAGUCAGUGGUGAAAGCCCAUAGCUCAACUAUGGAACUGCCAUUGAUACUGAAAGGCUUGAGUACAGACGAGGUUGGCGGAAUGAUGGUGUAGCGGUGAAAUGCAUAGAUACCAUCCAGAACUCCGAUUGCGUAGGCAGCUAACUAGGCUGUAACUGACGCUGAGGCACGAAAGCGUGGGGAGCAAACAGG